GACGGAGGGUGCGAGCGUUAUUCGGAAUUAUUGGGCGUAAAGGGUGUGCAGGCGGUCGGCCAAGCCAGAGGUGAAAGCCCGGGGCUCAACCUCGGAAGUGCCUUUGGAACUGGUCGACUUGAGUUCGGGAGAGGAAAGCGGAAUUCCGGGUGUAGAGGUGAAAUUCGUAGAUAUCCGGAGGAACACCGGUGGCGAAGGCGGCUUUCUGGACCGAAACUGACGCUGAGACACGAAAGCGUGGGGAGCAAACAGG
rnacentral:rRNA from 1 species